UACGUAGGGGGCAAGCGUUGUCCGGAUUUAUUGGGCGUAAAGAGCUCGUAGGCGGUUCGUCGCGUCGGCUUGUGAAAUCCCGAGGCUCAACCUCGGGUCUGCAGUCGAUACGGGCGGACUGGAGUUCGGCAGGGGAGACUGGAAUUCCUGGUGUAGCGGUGAAAUGCGCAGAUAUCAGGAAGAACACCAAUGGCGAAAGCAGCUCUCUGGGACGGUACUGACGCUGAGACGCGAAAGCGUGGGGAGCGAACAGG
rnacentral:rRNA from 1 species